UAACUUCGGGAGAAGAGGCGCCCUGGUGUAAGAACCAGGGCCGCAGUGAAAAGGCCCAGGCGACUGUUUAUCAAAAACACAUGGCUUUGCAAAAUCGAAAGAUGAAGUAUAAGGCCUGACACCUGCCCGGUGCCGGAAGGUUAAGUGGAGAUGUUAGCUUCGGCGACGCAUUCAAAUGAAGCCCCGGUAAACGGCGGCCGUAACAAUAACGGUCCUAAGGUAGCGAAAUUCCUUGUCGGGUA
rnacentral:rRNA from 9 species